UGGGGAAUAUUGGACAAUGGGCGAAAGCCUGAUCCAGCCAUGCCGCGUGUGUGAAGAAGGUCUUCGGAUUGUAAAGCACUUUAAGUUGGGAGGAAUGGCAGUAAGCGAAUACCUUGCUGUUUUUACGUUACCGACAGAAUAAGCACCGGCUAACUCUGUGCCAGCAGCCGCGGUAAUACAUAGGGUGCAAGCGUUAAUCGGAAUUACUGGGCGUAUAGCGCGCGUAGGUGGUUCGUUAAGUUGAAUGUGAAAGCCCCGGGCUCAACCUGGGAACUGCAUCCAAAACUGGCGAGCUAGAGUAGGGCAGAGGGUGGUGGAAUGUCCUGUGUAGCGGUGAAAUGCGUAGAUAUAGGAAGGAACACCAGUGGCGAAGGCGACCACCUGGGCUCAUACUGACACUGAGGUGCGAAAGCGUGGGGAGCAAACAGG
rnacentral:rRNA from 1 species